AACGAACGCUGGCGGCAGGCUUAACACAUGCAAGUCGAACGCGUGUAGCAAUACACGAGUGGCGCACGGGUGAGUAACGCGUGGAUAUCUGCCUUUUGGUUCGGAAUAACUCCGGGAAACUGGAGCUAAUACCGGAUGGUUCCUUCGGGAUAAAGAUUUAUCGCCAAAAGAUGAGUCCGCAUACGAUUAGCUAGUUGGUGAGGUAAUGGCUCACCAAGGCGACGAUCGUUAGCUGGUCUGAGAGGACGAUCAGCCACACUGGGACUGAGACACGGCCCAGACUCCUACGGGAGGCAGCAGUGGGGAAUAUUGGACAAUGGGGGCAACCCUGAUCCAGCCAUGCCGCGUGAGUGAUGAAGGCCUUCGGGUUGUAAAGCGCUUUUGGCGGGGACGAUGAUGACGGUACCCGCAGAAUAAGCCCCGGCUAACUUCGUGCCAGCCGCCGCGGUAA
rnacentral:rRNA from 1 species